UUCCAUACCUCUUCGAGCCGUCCACUUUCAACAGCGCCAACCGGACUUCCACAGUGUCCUCCAGAUUCCUCCAAUGGACGAACUUCCACAACGCCUUUCGAAUUCUGCUAUCAAAUCAACCUUCUGUCGGAUUCCUCAUGCAACUGGACCUCUCCAGUGGAUAGCCCUCAGACAAGCUUUUACAUCAUACAAAUUUCAGACGGACUUCUCCAGCAAUCGG
rnacentral:lncRNA from 1 species